GCAUAGCUCCGUUUGUAGAGCAUGUGACUCUUAAUCGCAGGGUGGUGAGUUCAAGACCCAUGUUGGGCA